ACCAGUGUGGCAUAGUGGUUUGAGUGCUGGACUACGACUCUGGAGACCAGGGUUCGAAUCCAACUCGGCCAUGGAA
rnacentral:tRNA from 1 species